GACGAACGCUGGCGGCGUGCUUAACACAUGCAAGUCGAACGGAAAGGCCCUGCUUUUGUGGGGUGCUCGAGUGGCGAACGGGUGAGUAACACGUGAGUAACCUGCCCUUGACGUUGGGAUAACUUCAGGAAACUGGUGCUAAUACCGGAUAGGAGCUCCUGCUGCAUGGUGGGGGUUGGAAAGUUUCGGCGGUUGGGGAUGGACUCGCGGCUUAUCAGCUUGUUGGUGGGGUAGUGGCAUACCAAGGCUUUGACGGGUAGCCGGCCUGAGAGGGGGACCGGCCACAUUGGGACUGCGAUACGGCGCAGACUCCUACGGGAGGCAGCAGUGGGGAAUAUUGCACAAUGGGCGGAAGCCUGAUGCAGCAACGCCGCGUGCGGGAUGACGGCCUUCGGGUUGUAAACCGCUUUCGCCUGUGACGAAGCGUGAGUGACGGUAAUGGGUAAAGAAGCACCGGCUAACUACGUG
rnacentral:rRNA from 1 species